UGGGGAAUAUUGCACAAUGGGCGGAAGCCUGAUGCAGCGACGCCGCGUGGGGGAUGAAGGCCUUCGGGUUGUAAACUCCUUUCGACAGGGACGAAGCGUAAGUGACGGUACCUGUAUAAGAAGCACCGGCUAACUACGUGCCAGCAGCCGCGGUAAUACGUAGGGUGCGAGCGUUGUCCGGAAUUACUGGGCGUAAAGAGCUCGUAGGUGGUUUGUCGCGUCGUCUGUGAAAUUCCGGGGCUUAACUCCGGGCGUGUGCAGGCGAUACGGGCUGACUUGAGUGCUGUAGGGGAGACUGGAAUUCCUGGUGUAGCGGUGAAAUGCGCAGAUAUCAGGAGGAACACCGAUGGCGAAGGCAGGUCUCUGGGCAGUAACUGACGCUGAGGAGCGAAAGCAUGGGUAGCGAACAGGAUUAGAUACCCUGGUAGUCCAUGCCGUAAACGGUGGGCGCUAGGUGUAGGGGGCUUCCACGUCUUCUGUGCCGUAGCUAACGCAUUAAGCGCCCCGCCUGGGGAGUACGGCCGCAAGGCU
rnacentral:rRNA from 1 species